GACGGAAGGUGCAAGCGUUGCUCGGAAUCACUGGGCGUAAAGGGUGCGUAGGCGGCUUGGUAGGUCUGGUGUGAAAGCCCCGGGCUCAGCCCGGGAAGGGCACUAGAAACUGCCAAGCUAGAGUGCCGGAGGGGAGAGUGGAAUUCCUGGUGUAGCGGUGAAAUGCGCAGAUAUCAGGAGGAACACCGAUGGCGAAGGCAGCUCGCUGGGACGGUACUGACGCUGAGGCGCGAAAGCGUGGGGAGCAAACAGG
rnacentral:rRNA from 1 species